UUCUUCUCCAAAGGCUACGGCCUCAAACCCCCCUCACCAUAUCUUCAUUUCCAAUCAAUCUACAACCAAUCCAUGGUGAUCUAGAGGUGUAAGAAGCAAAGUUAGGAAGGUUGCAAGCAACGGAUCUUGAAGGACCUUCUUAGUUCGCUAUUAACCAUCACUUUUCUUCACUUGAACUCUCCUAGCUUUGAGCUAGUGUAAUGUUAACAUGAAGUUGUCACGACGCUAGCUAAGCAAAUCCGGUGAAUUUUACGACGCAAGGAACGCAAAGUUGU
rnacentral:lncRNA from 1 species